rnacentral:rRNA from 1 species
GGUUAAGCGACUAAGCGUACACGGUGGAUGCCCUGGCAGUCAGAGGCGAUGAAGGACGUGCUAAUCUGCGAUAAGCGUCGGUAAGGUGAUAUGAACCGUUAUAACCGGCGAUUUCCGAAUGGGGAAACCCAGUGUGAUUCGUCACACUAUCAUUAACUGAAUCCAUAGGUUAAUGAGGCGAACCGGGGGAACUGAAACAUCUAAGUACCCCGAGGAAAAGAAAUCAACCGAGAUUCCCCCAGUAGCGGCGAGCGAACGGGGAGCAGCCCAGAGCCUGAAUCAGUGUGUGUGUUAGUGGAAGCGUCUGGAAAGGCGCGCGAUACAGGGUGACAGCCCCGUACACAAAAAUGCACAUGCUGUGAGCUCGAUGAGUAGGGCGGGACACGUGGUAUCCUGUCUGAAUAUGGGGGGACCAUCCUCCAAGGCUAAAUACUCCUGACUGACCGAUAGUGAACCAGUACCGUGAGGGAAAGGCGAAAAGAACCCCGGCGAGGGGAGUGAAAAAGAACCUGAAACCGUGUACGUACAAGCAGUGGGAGCACGCUUAGGCGUGUGACUGCGUACCUUUUGUAUAAUGGGUCAGCGACUUAUAUUCUGUAGCAAGGUUAACCGAAUAGGGGAGCCGAAGGGAAACCGAGUCUUAACUGGGCGUUAAGUUGCAGGGUAUAGACCCGAAACC